GAUGAACGCUGGCGGCGUGCCUAAUACAUGCAAGUCGAGCGAACAGACGAGGAGCUUGCUCCUCUGACGUUAGCGGCGGACGGGUGAGUAACACGUGGAUAACCUACCUAUAAGACUGGGAUAACUUCGGGAAACCGGAGCUAAUACCGGAUAAUAUAUUGAACCGCAUGGUUCAAUAGUGAAAGACGGUUUUGCUGUCACUUAUAGAUGGAUCCGCGCCGCAUUAGCUAGUUGGUAAGGUAACGGCUUACCAAGGCGACGAUGCGUAGCCGACCUGAGAGGGUGAUCGGCCACACUGGAACUGAGACACGGUCCAGACUCCUACGGGAGGCAGCAGUAUGGAAUCCUCCGCAAUGGGCGAAAGCCUGACGGAGCAACGCCGCGUGAGUGAUGAAGGUCUUCGGAUCGUAAAACUCUGUUAUUAGGGAAGAACAAAUGUGUAAGUAACUAUGCACGUCUUGACGGUACCUAAUCAGAAAGCCACGGCUAACUACGUG
rnacentral:rRNA from 1 species